GGCCGUGUUCAGACCCUCCUCACUUUCUUCUGUCCCAUAUGGGAUUUUCCAGGACGGCCUCGCGAGUUUCUUAUCUUUCUUAUCACUGUAACGUUCUAUCGGUAACGAAUACAGGAGAGCCUACUCGCUUGGAUAAACAUGUUUUUGCUGUGAGCUCUGGGACAACUCCUACUUUCUGUCUCCUUUUGAUUGGCUUCCCAAGGAGGCAGUGUCCUAUAAAUUGCGGUCUGAUCUGUGCUUCUGCCCUAUUGCCGGCUGAGGGACAGGUGAGU
rnacentral:lncRNA from 1 species